rnacentral:rRNA from 1 species
AACGAACGCUGGCGGCAGGCUUAACACAUGCAAGUCGAGCGCCCCGCAAGGGGAGCGGCAGACGGGUGAGUAACGCGUGGGAAUCUACCCAUCUCUACGGAACAACUCCGGGAAACUGGAGCUAAUACCGUAUACGCCCUACGGGGGAAAGAUUUAUCGGGGAUGGAUGAACCCGCGUUGGAUUAGCUAGUUGGUGGGGUAAUGGCCUACCAAGGCGACGAUCCAUAGCUGGUCUGAGAGGGUGAUCAGCCACACUGGGACUGAGACACGGCCCAGACUCCUACGGGAGGCAGCAGUGGGGAAUAUUGGACAAUGGGCGAAAGCCUGAUCCAGCCAUGCCGCGUGAGUGAUGAAGGCCCUAGGGUUGUAAAGCUCUUUCACCGGUGAAGAUAAUGACGGUAACCGGAGAAGAAGCCCCGGCUAACUUCGUGCCAGCCGCCGCAGUAAAAC